ensembl:lncRNA
GACAACCAGCACUGAAGCGGUGGCGAUCGGGGACCCAGAAAAUCCUGACAAGGUCAUUGCUUUCGGGAAGCCCUUCUGUGUGCUGCCCUGGGCAGCAGAGCCUAGCAGAGGAGCAGCGUGGUGAGAGGAAGCACACGGGUCUGCAGAAAGACAGAUGGAUUUGAGUCUCGGCCUGACUCCUUGCUGACAGUGUGGCUUUGGUUUCUGGUGACCAAGAUGGAUCCUGCUGAGACAUCCCACUUGGUCUGGAGCUUGCAGAUGGAAUCCGAGGAAAACUGGCAGAAGCUGGUGAAGGACCAAAUUUCUGGCCAGUGCCGUAAAGGAGAACCUUCAGAGAAACAUGGGAGGAAAGCAGCCGCCAUCUGUUGGUGACGGAGCAGCUGACAAUAUCAGAAUGAGUAAAAUCUCUGCUAGGAUAUGACACAUACCUUUUUUUGUGAGGUUUUGAUCAGUGUUUCCUUGUAGUGUAAGACACUAUAUAUAUAUAUAUA